rnacentral:rRNA from 1 species
GACGAACGCUGGCGGCGUGCCUAACACAUGCAAGUCGAGCGAUGAAGUUUCUUUCGGGAAAUGGAUUAGCGGCGGACGGGUGAGUAACACGUGGGUAACCUGCCUCAUAGAGGGGGAUAGCCUCCCGAAAGGGAGAUUAAUACCGCAUAAGAUUGUAGCUUCGCAUGAAGUAGCAAUUAAAGGAGCAAUCCGCUAUGAGAUGGGCCCGCGGCGCAUUAGCUAGUUGGUGAGGUAACGGCUCACCAAGGCGACGAUGCGUAGCCGACCUGAGAGGGUGAUCGGCCACAUUGGGACUGGGACACGGCCCAGACUCCUACGGGAGGCAGCAGUGGGGAAUAUUGCACAAUGGGGGAAACCCUGAUGCAGCAAUGCCGCGUGAGUGAUGACGGCCUUCGGGUUGUAAAGCUCUGUCUUCAGGGACGAUAAUGACGGUACCUGAGGAGGAAGCCACGGCUAACUACGUGCCAGCAGCCGCAGUAAUAC